GACAGAGGGUGCAAACGUUGUUCGGAAUUACUGGGCGUAAAGCGUGCGCAGGCGGUUCCGCAAGUCAGAUGUGAAAUCCCCGGGCUCAACCUGGGAACUGCAUUUGAAACUACGGGGCUAGAGUGUGUCAGAGGGGGGUGGAAUUCCACGUGUAGCAGUGAAAUGCGUAGAGAUGUGGAGGAACACCAAUGGCGAAGGCAGCCCCCUGGGAUGACACUGACGCUCAUGCACGAAAGCGUGGGGAGCAAACAGG
rnacentral:rRNA from 1 species